rnacentral:rRNA from 1 species
AUUGAACGCUGGCGGCAGGCUUAACACAUGCAAGUCGAGCGGAGAUGAGGUGCUUGCACCUUAUCUUAGCGGCGGACGGGUGAGUAAUGCUUAGGAAUCUGCCUAUUAGUGGGGGACAACAUUCCGAAAGGAAUGAUAAUACCGCAUACGUCCUACGGGAGAAAGCAGGGGAUCUUCGGACCUUGCGAUAAUAGAUGAGCGUAAGUCGGAUUAGCUAGUUGGUGGGGUAAAGGCCUACGAAGGCGACGAUCUGUAGCGGGUCUGAGAGGAUGAUCCGCCACACUGGGACUGACACACGGCACAGACUCCUACGGGAGGCAGCAGUGGGGAAUAUUGGACAAUGGGGGAAACCCUGAUCCAGCCAUGCCGCGUGUGUGAAGAAGGCCUUAUGGUUGUAAAGCACUUUAAGCGAGGAGGAGGCUACUGAGACUAAUACUCUUGGAUAGUGGACGUUACUCGCAGAAUAAGCACCGGCUAACUCUGUGCCAGCAGCCGCCGUAAAAC